rnacentral:rRNA from 1 species
AUUGAACGCUGGCGGCAGGCUUAACACAUGCAAGUCGAGCGAGCGGCGGCCGGGUGAGUAAUGUCUGGGAAACUGCCUGAUGGAGGGGGAUAACUACUGGAAACGGUAGCUAAUACCGCAUACCAUCAGAUGUGCCCAUAGGGGAUUAGCUAGGAGGUAGGGGAAUGGCUCACCUAGGAGACGAUCCCUCGCUGGUAUGAGAGGAUGACCAGCCACAAUGAAACUCAGGCAAGUUCCAGACUCCUACGGGAGGCAGCAGUGGGGAAUAUUGCACAAUGGGCGCAAGCCUGAGGCAGCCAUGCCGCGUGUGUGAAGAAGGCCUGCGGGUUGUAAAGCACUUUCAGCGAGGAGGCGUUACUCGCAGAAGAAGCACCGGCUAACUCCGUGCCAGCAGCCGCGGUAAUUC